ensembl:lncRNA
CUGACUGAUUGUUUUUGCCUUUGAGGGAUAGGUCUCAGGUGGAUGCUUUCAGAUCAAAAUUACAAUCGUGGACUUAGCUUCUAAACCCACUUAUACAAUUUACUCUAAAGGUAUGUGAACUCCUUUGCCAGCAUAAAGGAUGUAAUACAAAAACUGUGAACCAGGCCCUGGGAUGUGAUGGAGGCCUCCUCCUUUGGCUUGAAGUAUUUGUGGAGUCACUGCCUGAUUUAUUGGGUCUCAGACUGCAGUAACACAUCUCUCUCUGCAGACAUACUAAAUCCAGUCUCUGUUAGUAAGUAGGCAAACAUCCCAGCAUGAGAACGGCUUAAUAGGAAGCUUCCCCCCUCUUAAGUAUCCUUGCAGAUACUUAAGAUACUCCCACUUAAGUAGGAAGCUGAGGUUAGAUAAGAAGUUGCAGCAGGGAGGAUAUGACCAGAGGAAGAGCGGAGUCAGAGGAGAGAAAAGCUGAGAGAAAGCAACAGUAAAGCUGCAGAGUUCUGUGAUUAACUCUCAGGGAGAAAAUGUCUCACUUGUAGCAAGGAGUAACCAAUGUAAUACCAUUUCCCGGAAGCCUAGAUUCACAAAAGACAACCUUAACAACAGUUUCACUUCCCAAUCAUUUCCACACUCGCUCUCAUACAGCAUUUUGUACUUUUUUAGUGUAACAACUACUGCUUAAUCUCUAAUUCUUGAAUGCAAACAGCAUGUAUAGGGUUUAAGUGUGAAGAUUCUGGUACAGAGGGACCGUAUGAUUUGCCUCUGUGGGAAGAUGCCAGAAGCUGCCCCUUGUCAGGUAAGAGCCAGCUCCAGCUGCUCCAAAAGGGAUCUGCCACUGGCCAGAGCUGAGUGAUGAGAAAUACUGAGUGUGCUUCUAGAAGAGCAGACUGAAGGAAGGGAAAACCUCUCUUGCAACAGCAGCUGGGAGAGAGGAAUAAGAUACUGUGAGAGAAACAGCCCUGAAACCACCAAGGUCAGUGCAGAAGGAAGGCAGGAGGUGCUCCAGGCAUGGAGCAGAAGUUCCCUGCAGCCCAUGGAGAAGCCCAUGGUGGAGCAGGUGGUUCCCUGCAGCCCAUGGGCACCACCUGGAGCAGAUUUCCAUGAACAGCCUGUGGAGGAGCACAUGGUGGAGCAAGAAGUCUGGAGGAUCUGCCACCCAUGAGAGGACCCAUGCUGGAGCAGUCUGCUCCUGAAGAUGGGGUCCUGUGGUACGGAUUGAUGUUGCAGCAGUUUCAAAAUCAGAGAAUGGUUUAGAUUGGAAGGGACCAUCUGGAAGUCUUGAAGAACUGCAACCUGUGGUAAACUCACUCUGGAUCUGUCAGUGAAGUACUGCAUCCCAUGGGAGAGACCUCACAAAGGAGCACUGGAAGAGUGAGGACGAAGAGUGGCAGUGAUGAAGCACUAGGAACUGACUGCAUCCCUAUUUACCAGAGUCUCUUGAGGGGAGAAAAUAGAAAAGAUAAAUAGGAUGAUGAUUUUAGUUUAAAUUCAGUAAUCACUGCUAUUGUUUUUUACUAAUUGGCAGGAAAUUACACUAAUCUUCUCUAUGCUGAGUCUGUUUUGCCCAUGGUUGUAAUUGGUGGGGGAUCUCUUUGCCUUAAUCUCAAUCCAUGAACUUUUCCUUGGUAUUUUUCUCCCUCUAUCCUUUUUGAGGAAGGGAAGUGAGAGAGGUCCUGUGUGGUGCCUAGCUGCCCAUCGGUGUUAAGCCACAACACACAACAUUAUGGGAAUGUUUUUGCAUACUUCCCCUCAUUUCAUUUUCUGUUUUGUUCAGUUUUGCAGGAGCAUGUCCAUUUCCACCAGUAUCCUGGGAGUCUUAACAAGAAACACACUAUUAAUGUUUACAGAGCCUCCUACACAAGUAAACAGCACUUUCCAGACAACCAUCCAGAAAUGAAAUAUCUACAUUUUCAUUUGGUUCCAUUGUUUAUUAUUAUACAGUAAGAAAGUAUGUAAUAUUUCUUUGCUGAAUUUAUAUGCCAUUAUGUUCAAGUCAUUAUUUCUUAUAUCUCAUUAAAUGAAAAAGCCCUGAA